AUGUCUCCUGGUGUGAGGUGGGGUGGUGCCUGGUCCCCGCUGGCGCAGGGGCACCCUAGGGGAAUGGCGCCUGUCCUGCUGGAUGCAGCCCUGGGGGGAUGGGUGCCCCGGGAUGGCAGUCCUGUACCUUGGUCUCUGCCAGGAUGGUGCCCUGGGGGAUGGUGCCCACACUGGUCCCUGCCGGGAUGGUGCCCUGGGGGAUGGUGCCCACACUGGUCCCUGCCGGGAUGGUGCCCUUGGGGGAUGGUGCCCACACUGCUUCCUGCCGGGAUGGUGCCCUGGGGGAUGGUGCCCACACUGCUUCCUGCUGGGAUGGUGCCCCUGGGGGAGGCUGGGGGUUCUUGGCGAGAGUGGGCAGAGCUGCCUGUAAACAAACGUGUUUCCUCCUGUUGGCGUCUGUAAUGCGCCUUGGUGGUAGGGUCGGGGUGCCAAAGUGACCUGGGGCUGCCAAGGCCAAAGGGCUACAAGGGAACAUCUUAAAAUAAUAGAUACUUAUUUCUCUA
rnacentral:lncRNA from 1 species